rnacentral:lncRNA from 1 species
GCCCAAUGAAGCAUGAAUUAGGGACAUACUGAAAAUGGGUAAGGAAAUUGUCAACUCAGAACCCAGCAGGCAUUAAGUAAAAGAGGAGGAAGCAUUACAGCAACAGUUUUGAUCAUACUGUACUUUUAUAGCCAUGUGAAAUACAUUUUCUAUGUAUAGAUAGAUUGUGUAAGGGUACAAUUGUGAGGACAACAGGAACAUGGCAGAUUAUUUAAAAUCAUACUAAAGAUGAUGCUGUGUCUGAUGAAAGUGAUUCUAAACCAUAGAAAAACGAUUCAAGACAGACAAGAGCUGCAGCAGUGGGUAGAGGACUCCUACAGAUGAGAGAUCGCCCCUUCUGCUGCAAGAAAGGCCUCAACAACUGGGUAAGUUUGUUCAUUUUUCCCUUGCUUUUCGGCCAAGUCGGGACAUGGAUGUAUUUUUCUCCCCACAGCUCUGUGCUCAAGCCUUGCAGAGGGAGAUGGCAGAGAGGAAGGCUGCCUGCAAGCAGCACAGACAGGAAAUGAUGGAAAAGCAGGGAGUGCUGGAGAGACACAUGAGUCAGGAGGCAGCCCAGGGACAGCUAGGGCUAGAGAACCCUUUCUGGAGAGGUAGGAGCUCUCUGGGAAGGCACCCGCUUAACUUCUGCUCCACAAUCCACACCCCUGCUUCUCCUUUCUGGGGUGAGGGCUUGGGUUGGGUUAUUGUUAUGUUUCCUGGAAACAGUUCCAAGCACUUACUAAAGAGAACAGUUAUCCCGCUGGGUGGCAGGACCGUUUUUCUCACGUGCCACAGCUGAAUGACUCUUGGCUGGUCCCCUGUGAAUAGCGGAGCACAGGCCCCUCCACUGACUGUGGACAUCAUUCCACCCUGAUGUCUUGGUUACUUUUAACUGAGGGGAUGAGCCUAGAAGGCAAAUGGGUCAGCUCCCCUUCCAACCUUGAGUCAGUGGGAAGGCUUUAUUUUUU